GACGAACGCUGGCGGCGUGCUUAACACAUGCAAGUCGAACGGGAAGGCCCUGCUUUUGUGGGGUGCUCGAGUGGCGAACGGGUGAGUAACACGUGAGUAACCUGCCCUUGACUUUGGGAUAACUUCAGGAAACUGGGGCUAAUACCGGAUAGGAGCUCCUGCUGCAUGGUGGGGGUUGGAAAGUCUCGGCGGGUGGGGAUGGACUCGCGGCUUAUCAGCUUGUUGGUGGGGUAGUGGCUUACCAAGGCAUGGACGGGUAGCCGGCCUGGGAGGGUGAACGGGCACCAUGGGACUGCGAUACGGCCCAGAGUCCUACGGGGGGCAGCAGGGGGGAAUCUUGCACAAUGGGCGGAAGCCUGAUGCAGCAACGCCGCGUGCGGGAUGACGGCCUUCGGGUUGUAAACCGCUGUCGCCUGUGACGAAGCGUGAGUGACGGUAAUGGGUAAAGAAGCACCGGCUAACUACGUG
rnacentral:rRNA from 1 species